GACAGGAUGUGGGAUAGUAUUGGGAUUCUUGAAUAGGGAUGUGUGUACAGGUAGGAAAAUUUAGUGUAAUUAGUUAGAACUUAACUUCAAUAUAAUUACAUUUUUAAUCUGGAGGAAUAUAGGAGUUUGAGGAAUAUAUGAUAGAGGGAUAGAAUUCUUAGAAAUCAGUUGGAAUAAUAAUAGGCGACAGCAUCAUUCUAUAUAUUCCUGACACUGACGCACUAAAGUGU
rnacentral:rRNA from 1 species